rnacentral:rRNA from 1 species
UUAAUGUCCAGGAGAGUGGCCCUCCGCAUGGAGGGUUGACUAGAGAUUUAUCGGUAUGGGAUGAGCUUGCGUCCGAUUAGCUAGUUGGCGGGGCAACGGCCCACCAAGGCGACGAUCGGUAGCCAGCCUGAGAGGGUGAUCGGCCACAUUGGGACUGAGAUACGGCCCAGACUCCUACGGGAGGCAGCAGUAGGGAAUAUUGCACAAUGGGGGAAACCCUGAUGCAGCAACGCCACGUGUGGGAAGAAGCAUUUCGGUGUGUAAACCACUGUCAUGAGGGAAUAAGGCCCGCCUCCGGGCGGGAUUGAAUGUACCUUGAGAGGAAGCACCGGCAAACUUCGUGCCAGCAGCCGCGGUAAUACGAGGGGUGCAAGCGUUGUUCGGAAUUACUGGGCGUAAAGGGAGCGUAGGCGGAGAUUCAAGCGGAUUGUACAAUCCCGGGGCCCAACCCCGGCUCUGCAGUCCGAACUGGAUCUCUUGGAUAGUUCAGGGGCAGGCGGAAUUCCUGGUGUAGCGGUGGAAUGCGUAGAGAUCAGGAAGAACACCGAUGGCGAAGGCAGCCUGCUGGGGACUUAUCGACGCUGAGGCUCGAAAGUGCGGGUAGCAAACAGGAUUAGAUACCCUGGUAGUCCGCACCGUAAACAAUGUAUACUGGGUGUCCGGGGGUUCCCCCGGGUACCGUAGCCAACGCGUUNAGUAUGCCGCCUGGGGAGUGCGUACGCAAGUAUGAAACUCAAAGGAAUUGACGGGGGCCCGCACAAGCGGNGGAGCAUGUGGUU